rnacentral:rRNA from 1 species
GAUAUAAACAUAAGAGGUCCUGCCUGCCAGUGACACGUGUUCAACGGCCGCGGUAUUUUAACCGUGCAAAGGUAGCGCAAUCACUUGUCCUUUAAAUGGGGACCUGUAUGAAUGGCACGACGAGGGCUUGACUGUCUCCUCUCUCCAGUCAAUGAAAUUGAUCUCCCCGUGCAGAAGCGGGGAUAAAACCAUAAGACGAGAAGACCCUAUGAAGCUUUAGACGCCAUGACAGAUUAUGUUAAACAACCCUUUUAAAGGAAUAAACCUAGUAACCCCUGUCCAAAUGUCUUUGGUUGGGGCGACCGCGGGGAAAUAAAUAACCCCCAUGUGGACUGAGAGAACUAACUCUCUUACAACCCAGAGCUACAGCUCUAAGUAACAAAAUUUUUGACCUAAAGGAUCCGGCAAUGCCGAUCAACGAACCGAGUUACUCUAGGGAUAACAGCGCAAUCCCCUUUUAGAGUCCCUAUCGACAAGGGGGUUUACGACCUCGAUGUUGGAUCAGGACAUCCUAAUGGUGCAGCCGCUAUUAAGGGUUCGUUUGUUCAACGAUUAAAGUCCUACGUGAUCUG